rnacentral:rRNA from 1 species
UGAGGAAUAUUGGGCAAUGCCCGCAAGGGUGACCCAGCAACGCCGCGUGGAGGAUGAAUGUCGUAAGAUCGUAAACUCCUGUUAGAGGGGAAGAAUAGUACCGGUUGGACCGGUAUAUGACUGUACCCUCAGAGAAAGCCCCGGCUAACUACGUGCCAGCAGCCGCGGUAAUACGUAGGGGGCAAGCGUUGUCCGGAUUUACUGGGUGUAAAGGGCGCGCAGGCGGAAUGGAAAGUCAGUGGUGAAAUCCUACAGCUUAACUGUAGAACUGCCUUUGAUACUUUCAUUCUUGAGUUCGGGAGAGAGAGACGGAAUUCCAGGUGUAGUGGUGAAAUACGUAGAUAUCUGGAAGAACACCAGUUGCGAAGGCGGUCUCUUGGUCCGAUACUGACGCUGAGGCGCGAAAGCGUGGGGAGCAAACA